UGUUCAGCGAGGGGACAGGGAUUAUCUAGAGGUUCUGGUGGACUAGCUAGCUGGGGUCUGUUCAGCGAGGGGACAGGGAUUAUCUAGAGGUUCUGGUGGACUAGCUAGCUGGGGUCUGUUCAGCGAGGGGACAGGGAUUAUCUAGAGAUUCUGGUGGACUAGCUAGCUGGGGUCUGUUCAGCGAGGGGACAGGGAUUAUCUAGAGGUUCUGGUGGACUAGCUAGCUGGGGUCUGUUCAGCGAGGGGACAGGGAUUAUCUAGAGGUUCUGGUGGACUAGCUAGCUGGGGUCUGUUCAGCGAGGGGACAGAGAUUAACUAGAGGUUCUGGUGGACUAGCUAGCUGGGGUCUGUUCAGCGAGGGGACAGGGAUUAUCUAGAGGUUCUGGUGUACAGUAGACUAGCUAGCUGGGGUCUGUUCAGCGAGGGAAUAGGGAUUAACUAGAGGUUCUGGUGGACUAGCUAGCUGGGGUCUGUUCAGCGAGGGGACAGGGAUUAUCUAGAGGUUCUGGUGGACUAGCUAGCUAGGGUCUGUUCAGCGAGGGGACAGGGAUUAUCUAGAGGUUCUGGUGGACUAGCUAGCUGGGGUCUGUUCAGCGAGGGGACAGGGAUUAUCUAGAGGUUCUGGUGGACUAGCUAGCUGGGGUCUGUUCAGCGAGGGAACAGGGAUUAUCUAGAGGUUCUGGUGGACUAGCUAGCUGGGGUCUGUUCAGCGAGGGGACAGGGAUUAUCUAGAGGUUCUGGUGGACUAGCUAGCUAGGGUCUGUUCAGCGAGGGGACAGGGAUUAUCUAGAGGUUCUGGUGGACUAGCUAGCUGGGGUCUGUUCAGCGAGGGGACAGGGAUUAUCUAGAGGUUCUGGUGUACAGUAGACUAGCUAGCUGGGGUCUGUUCAGCGAGGGGAAAGGGAUUAUCUAGAGGUUCUGGUGGACUAGCUAGCUGGGGUCUGUUCAGCGAGGGAACAGGGAUUAACUAGAGGUUCUGGUGGACUAGCUAGCUGGGGUCUGUUCAGCGAGGGGACAGGGAUUAUCUAGAGGUUCUGGUGGACUAGCUAGCUGGGGUCUGUUCAGCGAGGGAACAGGGAUUAUCUAGAGGUUCUGGUGUAGACUAGCUAGCUGGGGUCUGUUCAGCGAGGGAACAGGGAUUAACUAGAGGUUCUGGUGUAGACUAGCUAGCUGGGGGCCGGUUCAGCGAGGGGACAGGGAUUAACUAGAGGUUCUGGUGUAGACUAGCUAGCUGGGGUCUGUUCAGCGAGGGGACAGGGAUUAACUAGAGGUUCUGGUGUAGACUAGCUAGCUGGGGUCUGUUCAGCGAGGGAACAGGGAUUAACUAGAGGUUCUGGUGUAGACUAGCUAGCUGGGGUCUGUUCAGCGAGGGAACAGGGAUUAACUAGAGGUUCUGGUGUAGACUAGCUAGCUGGGGUCUGUUCAGCGAGGGAACAGGGAUUAACUAGAGGUUCUGGUGUAGACUAGCUAGCUGGGGUCUGUUCAGCGAGGGGACAGGGGUUAACUAGAGGUUCUGGUGUACAGUAGACUAGCUAGCUGGGGUCUGUUCAGCGAGGGGACAGGGAUUAUCUAGAGGUUCUGGUGUACAGUAGACUAGCUAGCUGGGGUCUGUUCAGCGAGGGAACAGGGAUUAUCUAGAGGUUCUGGUGGACUAGCUAGCUGGUGUCUGUUCAGCGAGGGGACAGGGAUUAACUAGAGGUUCUGGUGGACUAGCUAGCUGGUGUCUGUUCAGCGAGGGGACAGGGAUUAACUAGAGGUUCUGGUGUACAGUAGACUAGCUAGCUGGGGUCUGUUCAGCGAGGGAACAGGGAUUAACUAGAGGUUCUGGUGGACUAGCUAGCUGGUGUCUGUUCAGCGAGGGGACAGGGAUUAACUAGAGGUUCUGGUGUACAGUAGACUAGCUAGCUGGGGUCUGUUCAGCGAGGGGACAGGGAUUAUCUAGAGGUUCUGGUGUACAGUAGACUAGCUAGCUGGGGUCUGUUCAGCGAGGGAACAGGGAUUAACUAGAGGUUCUGGUGGACUAGCUAGCUGGGGUCUGUUCAGCGAGGGGACAGGGAUUAACUAGAGGUUCUGGUGUACAGUAGACUAGCUAGCUGGGGUCUGUUCAGCGAGGGGACAGAGAUUAUCUAGAGGUUCUGGUGG